rnacentral:rRNA from 1 species
UACGUAGGGGCCAGCGUUGCUCGGAAUUACUGGGCGUAAAGGGUUCGUAGGCGGUGCGGCAAGUUGGGAGUGAAAUCUCUGGGCUUAACUCAGGGCUGCUUUCAAAACUGCCGCGCUCGAGUGCGAGAGAGGUCAGUGGAAUUGCAGGUGUAGCGGUGAAAUGCGUAGAUAUCUGCAGGAACACCCGUGGCGAAGGCGGCUGACUGGAUCGCAACUGACGCUGAGGAACGAAAGCUAGGGAGCAAACAGG